CGCUAUGGCAACCACUACAGAGAGAACCCCUUCCUGACAAACUAACUGAGCCGCAUUUUUAUUACGUGUAUUAUGAUUAUGAAAAUAACAGUGCGUAGAGCGUGUCAAAAAUGUGAGAACUAACGUUAGUUAUUCUGUAAAAAUAAGUCUAACUUAGUUAACUUACAUGCGACGGAACGUUAGUAGGAGAAAAGAAAGAAUCAAACUGCUAUUGACUAAGUUACAGAGACUGAAAUAAAUGAGCAGCCUACAAAAAGAGUAUCUGCGUGACUUAGUGUCUUAUUUUGUCAAUAUUCCGUAUUUGAUUUUAAUUAAGUAACACGCGCUUCACUUCGCCUGCGGGAAUGAUUUAACAACCUGGAAAGCUUUUAGACGUUUUCAGGGAUGUUUGCCAGGGAACAUCAACGCUCACUGACCGACCGCCUUUAAGAUUGAUAGAAGCGAAGAAAGCUCGCGCACGACUGACUGGAAGAACGCUUUCUUGAGAAAGCGCGUGAUCCCGCCUCACCUCACAGUAAAACAGCCAGAAAAGCUUCAGGAUCUUCUCAAGGUCUGCAGCUGCUCUUCAAACAGAUCGAUGGACUUCACAUAAAACAGGUGGUGUACUUCCACACUUCUCUGUGCCUGAGUUCUGUGGUGGUAGUGGUGGAGUUGGUGUCUUUGUCUAACAGGGCAGACGGUUCCCAGGAUGCAGUGGGGUCAUGGUUUGGUCUCCUCCAGCUCUUCACAGGUCGUGCAGACUCCAGUAUCUCUUAGGAAGAGGGCAGGUUGAGUCUGUUCAAUGGGACCCCUAGGAGCCCUCCUGCACCCAACGCUGAAAGACCCUGAAAGAACCCCAAGCUUUACAUUCAGUCAAUAGUUCAUAGUCCACACCUUUAGCAGCUCAAGUCAAUAUGAAAUUAUAAAUUUGUACUCUUAUUUUUUUUAAUUGAGUACAUGUUAAUGUUGAUUUAUUACAUUUGGCAAUUAAAGUAAAUUAUGAUAUAUUUGAAAAAGAAGUUAUACCAUUGUGAUGCAUUGAGAUGUCCUUGAAAACAAGCUUUCAAGGUAGCGGACAUCAUGACCAAGUCAGAAAUACCCGCAUAAGUGGGUUCCAGUUAUAUUUCAGCAGGCAUUCGGAUGCGACUCUGUUCUGAUAUUCAACACACUGAGACUGUUUUGAUUAUCCAAUCAAAUCCCACCCUACUUUUUUCACAUUGAAAAUGCUGAGUGACACGUAAAUCUGUCAGAUUGCAUGAAAUAGGUUGUGAAUUGUGUUCCAUAGUCUUUUAAAGCUGAAUUUUUCAGUCAGUGAAUGUGAUUUUGAAACGACGAGAUCAUAGUUUUCUUCUAGGCAAUUCUCUACGAUUUUUUUAGGUGGGUACAGUAGAUAGAUGUUUCAUUGAUGUGAUUACCCCAGCAGCACAGCAGGUAUUUGAAGGCUUGACUGAACCGGCCUGAUUUCUGGGAAAGUGCAUGUGGUGAAAUUUGACUAGAUAACAUAUUCUACUCAUGGUCUCAAAGGAGUCAAACUGAGGCAGAGACAACAGCAAGAGCUUAGUAAUACAUAGUUGAUAAACAGCACUUUAUGCUUUCUGACACUAGUGAUGAGAAACUAUUUGCAUAUGUGUGUGUGUGUUUGCCUCUUUUUUCAAAUGCUUUCGAUAUUCAAUCUGCCUUGUCUUUACCAUUUCAAUUCAUUUCCACUUGAAAGCAAAUUGAAUUAGGACUAUUUCUUGCAUUGCUGUUGUAAGAAAACAAUGUCUAUCCUAUCAUGAUCAUUUCAGAUCAUUUCAGUUUUCCUAUCCUUCCUAACGCUGAAAGGUUGCUUCUUUUGAAGGAGAAUCUGAAAUGUGUAAAUUAAAGGAAAUAGUUAGAACUCGCCUAUAAUUGAAGAGAUUCUUGAAACAGAUUUCAGAAAGUAACCUCAAUUGAACACUAUUCUUUAAUGUUGACCUUUUUUGCUGUUGUGUUUGGCAGAGUUUUCAUACCCUGGAAGAUGCAUUAUUUGGUUUUGACCUUGUUUUAUGUUUGAGAAUAGCUUUCAGAUUCCUUUCUUCUAUUUAUGUUCUUAUCCUUUUAUUUCUUAAUGAAUAUGUUCCACUUUUUGCCAUUUAUUUUAUUGAAACUUGUAUGUCAUGCAUUUUAUUAUAUAUAUAUUUACAUAUUUGUAGUGAUGAAGUAUACAGUUGAAGUAUUUUAAAGAAUUCUUUUUUUAUUUGACAUUAUUACAACGGGCCCUUUUUAAAAGUGUUAUAAAUAUACUAAUAUAAAAUAUACUUCUAAUAAUUUGAAGUACACUACAAGUGUGCAAUUAAGCACACUUCUUUUUGCAAGGGAUAAGUUAAUACCACAGAAGACAGAAUUUUUUCCCUUGGAUAUUUGACUUUCUAAACAACGAUGUUUAUGUAACUGCGAAUGACAAAACUAAUUAUGUAAUUUUGUUUUAUAACGAGAGUUAUGCAGUUUGUUGUUGUCCCAUCAUACUGCUUGCUUUGUAGAUGUGUUAAUCUCGACACUGAGGGCACCACAUGAGAGUGGUUCAUGGAUGAAGUGUAUCUGCAGGGUGUCCAGCUGUUGGAGUGGAGAGGGAGCAACACUGAUCUAAAAUUCUCUCUGAAUCCAACCUAUCCUUCUAGCUGUGUGUCUCUGUGCUACCUGCCAUUCUGUCUCAAUUAUGCCUCUCCAUGCUGGAGGGAGGAGAUAUCCCGCUGUCUCUCUGAGAGUCUGAGCCUGCUAGGGCCUUUCAGAUCACACAUAAACUUGCUGUCAAACAUAUACAUAGGUGCAAACAUUCUUUUGCAUGACUUAUAUAGUAGUGUACACACAUGUAGCCAUUGUCUGCUCCUUAAUAUUAUUGAAGCCACCUCCUGGAUGGCGCAGAGAUUAGGAAAGUGAAAAAGACGAGACCUAGAGCAGUGCUUCUCCACUGGAUUUUCUUCAGAAUCCUUUGCAAAACAUCAAGUGAUGACCUGAUUCGCUACCAAGCCCAGUUCAGUUCUGUUCAGAUCAGUUCAGUUUGAUUCAUUUUGUUUUAAAUCAGUUUAAACUUGAUUUAGUAAGUUUAUUUUGAUUUCAUUGAAGUUAGUUCAGUUUAGUUACACGAAACGUUGUGAAAAGCCUGCGUAUUUGACAAUUCUGCAUUUUGUUUACUUCAUCUGUGAUAAGUAUAUAUGUGAGCACCGUGUGAGUGCCAUUAUCAGGAGCAGAGUGUCCGGCUUACAUGUCUGUUUUCAUGAACCGAUUUUGGACAGGCUUCUGAGGCAGAGUAAUGGUCUACAGCAUGAUCUACAGCUAUAUAUAGAAGUGCUGGUUAUAACCUGUGGAUAUUUUGUACAACAUACAUUUAAUAAAUAAAUAAAUAUAAAUUAUACGACACUGACCGCAAGGAGAAGGAGGAGAAUGAGGAGGAGGAUGAGAAGAACGAGGAGGAGGAGGGGAAGAGGUGGAGAAGAAGAGGAGGAUGAGAAGGAAAUGGAGAAGGAGAUGGAGAAUGAGAAGAAUGAGGAGGAGGAUGAGAAAAAUGAGGAGGAGGAUGAGAAGGAUGAGGAAGAGGACGAGAAGAAUGAGGAGGAGGAUGAGAAGAAUGAGGAGGAGGAUGAGAAGGAAAUGGAGAAGGAGAAGGAAAAGGAUAUGAAGAAUGAGAAGGAGAUGGAGAAUAUGUAGAAGAUGGAGAGGGAGAAUAAGAAGGAGAUGUAGAAGAUGGAGAUGGAGAAAACAAAAGGGACUGCUGUUUUCUCCCACUAGGGAGAUCACCCUUUGCCACGAUACUUGUAGGGGACCGCUGUUCUAUCCCUCAAGCGAGGGACGAAAACCCCUCAGAAGAAAGGGACUGCUGUUUUCUCCAGCUGGAGAGAACACCCUUGCUGCUAUAGCUGCAGAGGACUGCUGUUCAUCCUUCAGCAGGGGAUCAACACCCCUGCUACUUAAAUCAAGAGGGGACUUGCUAUUCUCUCCCUCGCGUCUAGAGGGGAGAAUACCCUUCUCCUAGCAUAGGCUUCAUUAAGGACAUCUCAAUAACAUUAUCUUUCUCUUUUACAGGAAUGGAACAAGGACAAUUUCAGGGGGUCUUCACACUACUUUCCUACUGCUCAUACCAAGCUCAGGGACAUACUGCUUGUCUUGCAGUUCUCCUGCUGGAGAGAAUACCCUUCGUUGCUAUUGCCAGCUACUUUAAUUAAAGAGAGGCCCACUACUCUCUGCCUCAUUAGAGAUGAGAAUACCCCUUCACUAGCCAGUAGGCUACAUUAAGGAUAUCUCAAUAACACAGAUUUUACUCUUUGCAGGAUUGGAACAAGGUUGGUUUUGGGGGGGUUCUUCUUCAGGCAGUAAUACCUCUCAUUAUGUUUUGGGGGUUAAUGUUAAAGCUCUUGUAUGUUCAAUUAUUCUGGGAGCAAGAACCCCCAUAAGUUACCAUACCGCCAAAGAUAAAUUGUGUUCAAUAAACUCAAGUAAACUUGCCAAAGUGGUUCCUGUCUGAAAUUGGAGGAAGUGUUACCAUCUGUAGUUUUUAGCUUUUUUUUAAGGAUCAGGAUGUUUUUAGGGCUCUAUGUAACCUGCACAUAUUGGCUUUAACCUCAUUUCUGACAGAUUUUAUUCCAAAAUACCCAUCUAUUUUAUUUGGUUGUACAGCAAGUGAUGUCAUAAACUUGGAGAGGAAUGCAAAUUUUUGCUAUAUUUUAUGUUCAAUUAUUUGGAUGGUUGGUUACAUUUUAUUUUUUAGUAUUAAGCAUUGAUUUGGAACAUUUCUGGAUCAUGACCUACAAGUUGAGAACUACUGGCAUAGAGGAUGCAUACAGCACUGGCAGAGCCUAAUAAUGCUGGCACACUGAAAUCUGUGCUUCAUUUGAUGUGUUUGUCUGUGCGCAUGUCUUUGUGUGCGAGCAUAGAAGAGAGAGAGACGGAGAGAUGUGAGAAUGAGUGAGCAGUUUUUCAUCUCCGAAGAUUAGAAUUCUUAUUUUGACACACUUCAGUGUUUGUAGACGGCUGAUUUUGACAAGCAUAGUAGCUUGUAGUCAUUUUUUUUUCAGAAUAGAGACAAAUAGAUGCAAAGCCACAUUGAUGUUGUUACAUCUGCUGUUCCUUCACCCGUGAAAGAAAUACAUAAUAAUAACCUUGAAAUAUGCCAAAGAAAGAUUUGUCAUGUUAAAUUAGUUGUUAAAUCAUAGGUUUAAUCAUGAAGUAUUCGAUGGGAAUCAGCAGCAAAGCUAUUGGACAGAGAGCUGUUGGUUCGGGUACACUGAUUGCUGUUUUUUUUAUUUUAAUUGGAAUAAUUUUACUGCUGUUUUUUGAGCGAUGUCCAGGUUUAUACAUGUGCUUCACAUAUGCUGAACCUUGGUGUUUGUAUAAGAGAUACAAAUCUGUCUUUUUUCUGCUUUCUUUGUUAAUAAAUAAAUAAAUAGACAAACACAUGCUGCCAUUCAAAAGUUUGGGGUUAGUAAGAUUUAUUUUAAUACUUCUAUUU